GACGAACGCUGGCGGCGUGCCUAAUACAUGCAAGUCGAGCGGAAGUUGGAGAGCUUGCUCUUCAACUUUAGCGGCGGACGGGUGAGUAACACGUGGGCAACCUGCCCUGCAGAUCGGGAUAACUCCGGGAAACCGGUGCUAAUACCGAAUAGUUUUCGCCACCUCCUGGUGGCGUACGGAAAGACGGUUUCGGCUGUCACUGCAGGAUGGGCCCGCGGCGCAUUAGCUAGUUGGGGGGGUAACGGCCCACCAAGGCAACGAUGCGUAGCCGACCUGAGAGGGUCAUCGCCCGAACUGUGACUGAGACACGGCCCAGACUCCUACGGGAGGCAGCAGUAGGGAAUCUUCCGCAAUGGACGAAAGUCUGACGGAGCAACGCCGCGUGAGUGACGAAGGUUUUCGGAUCGUAAAACUCUGUUGUGAGGGAAGAACAAGUACCAACUAACUACUGGUACCUUGACGGUACCUCACCAGAAAGCCACGGCUAACUACGUGCCAGCAGCCGCGGUAAUAC
rnacentral:rRNA from 1 species